GGACCCGCACAAGCAGCGGAGCAUGUGGUUUAAUUCGAAGCAACGCGAAAAACCUUACCAAGACUUGACAUCGCAUGAAGGAUACAGAAAUGUAAACGUCCCUUCGGGGACAUGCAGACAGGUGGUGCAUGGUUGUCGUCAGCUCGUGUCGUGAGAUGUUGGGUUAAGUCCCGCAACGAGCGCAACCCUUAUCAAUAGUUGCCAAUAUUAAGUUAGGAACUCUAUUGAGACUGCCGUGGAUAACACGGAGGAAGGUGAGGAUGACGUCAAAUCAUCAUGCCCCUUACGUCUUGGGCUACACACGCGCUACAAUGGCUAUUACAAAGAGCAGCGAAAUGGUAACAUGAAGCCAAUCUCAUAAAGAUAGUCUCAGUUCAGACUGUGGGCUGCAACCCGCCCACACGAAGUUGGAGUUGCUAGUAAUCCCGAAUCAGCACGUCGGGGUGAAUUCGUUCCCGGGUCUU
rnacentral:rRNA from 1 species